rnacentral:rRNA from 1 species
GAUGAACGCUGGCGGCGUGCUUAACACAUGCAAGUCGAACGAAGCACUCUAUUUGAUUUUCUUCGGAAAUGAAGAUUUUGUGACUGAGUGGCGGACGGGUGAGUAACGCGUGGGUAACCUGCCUCAUACUGGGGGAUAACAGUUGGAAACGACUGCUAAUACCGCAUAAGCGCACGGUAUCGCAUGGUACGGUGUGAAAAACUCCGGUGGUAUGAGAUGGACCCGCGUCUGAUUAGCUAGUUGGUGGGGCAACGGCCUACCAAGGCGACGAUCAGUAGCCGACCUGAGAGGGUGACCGGCCACAUUGGGACUUAGACACGGCCCAAACUCCUACGGGAGGCAGCAGUGGGGAAUAUUGCACAAUGGGGGAAACCCUGAUGCAGCGACGCCGCGUGAACGAAGAAGUAUUUCGGUAUGUAAAGUUCUAUCAGCAGGGAAGAUAAUGACGGUACCUGACUAAGAAGCACCGGCUAAAUACGUGCCAGCAGCCGCCGUAA